rnacentral:rRNA from 1 species
UACGGAGGGCGCGAGCGUUAAUCGGAAUUACUGGGCGUAAAGCGCGCGUAGGCUGUUGUGUAAGUUGGGGGUGAAAUCCCACGGCUCAACCGUGGAACAGCCCUUGAUACUGCGCGACUUGAAUCCGGAAGAGGUAUGCGGAAUGCGUGGUGUAGCGGUGAAAUGCAUAGAUAUCACGCAGAACUCCGAUUGCGAAGGCAGCAUACCGGCGCCCGACUGACGCUGAGGCACGAAAGCGUGGGGAUCGAACAGG